GGAAAUGCGUUGAAAAAGGAAAGUAACUUAAAUAGAGUUUUGCAGAGAGGAAAUUAUUUGCUGGGAGAUUUCUAAACAAAGUUUAUGUGAAGUGCCCUUUGGAGUAGUGUACCGAAAUUAAGUAGGCUACAUCGGGUUCACCCGUUACAGUGAUAGAGCAUAGAAAUGUGUUCGAAUGGAAAGCUGAGGUCUUUAUUAUUGGAGGACCUAAUUAGAGUGGAACCGCGGAUUCAACCCCGUCUCUAGA
rnacentral:ncRNA from 1 species